GUUUUAAUAGUUUAAGUAAAAUAUUAAAUUGCAAAUUUAAAGAUAAUUAAAAAUUUUAAGAUU
rnacentral:tRNA from 1 species